UACGGAGGGUGCGAGCGUUGUCCGGAAUCACUGGGCGUAAAGGGCGCGUAGGCGGCCUGAUAAGUAGGGGGUGAAAUCCUGCGGCUUAACCGCAGGGCUGCCUUCUAAACUGUCAGGCUAGAGCACAGUAGAGGCAGGUGGAAUUCCCGGUGUAGCGGUGGAAUGCGUAGAGAUCGGGAAGAACGCCAAGGGCGAAGGCACUCUGCUAGGCCUGAUUUCGCGACUGACACUCAGGGACGAGAGCCAGGGGAGCGAAUGGG
rnacentral:rRNA from 1 species